rnacentral:misc_RNA from 1 species
AAGGUGGUCGUACUGGAAAGUGUGGCUAGAUCAUAUCCUUUCUAAGAGGAAGAUAAAUCAAAACCAAUUUUAUUUACUUUUCUCUAUAUUUUUAUUUUGAUGAAAAAGCUUUUGAAUUCAAAGUAAAUUUUUAGUUUAACCUUUAGAAAAAAUAAAUCUUUAGAAAGUGUAUAGUAUUAUACAGUUUCAUAUUAAAUUAAACGUUGUUAAUAGUAAACAUAAUUUUAGAUUUUGAGUUGAAAGUUUUUUAUAUUGCUAAAUAUGUAUUUUAAAUCUAAUAGAACGGCAAUUGCAAUUUUUAAAAUUGAAAUUGCAUUGUAAAUAUACUCUAACAUCGAGAUUGACAAAUGUUUUUUUUUAUUGUUCAUCAUAGUU